rnacentral:rRNA from 1 species
CCUACGGGUGGCUGCAGUGGGGAAUAUUGCACAAUGGGCGCAAGCCUGAUGCAGCCAUGCCGCGUGUGUGAAGAAGGCCUUCGGGUUGUAAAGCACUUUCAGCGGGGAGGAAGGCGGUGAGGUUAAUAACCUCAUCGAUUGACGUUACCCGCAGAAGAAGCACCGGCUAACUCCGUGCCAGCAGCCGCGGUAAUACGGAGGGUGCAAGCGUUAAUCGGAAUUACUGGGCGUAAAGCGCACGCAGGCGGUCUGUCAAGUCGGAUGUGAAAUCCCCGGGCUCAACCUGGGAACUGCAUUCGAAACUGGCAGGCUAGAGUCUUGUAGAGGGGGGUAGAAUUCCAGGUGUAGCGGUGAAAUGCGUAGAGAUCUGGAGGAAUACCGGUGGCGAAGGCGGCCACCUGGACAAAGACUGACGCUCAGGUGCGAAAGCGUGGGGAGCAAACAGGAUUAGAUACCCUUGUAGUC